GACGAACGCUGGCGGCGUGCUUAACACAUGCAAGUCGAGCGGUAAGGCCCUUUCGGGGGCACACGAGCGGCGAACGGGUGAGUAACACGUGGGUGACCUGCCCUCAGCUCUGGGAUAAGCCUGGGAAACCGGGUCUAAUACUGGAUAUGACUCCAUGACGCAUGUUGUGGGGUGGAAAGCCUUGUGCGGCUGAGGAUGGGCCCGCGGCCUAUCAGCUUGUUGGUGGGGUGAUGGCCUACCAAGGCGACGACGGGUAGCCGGCCUGAGAGGGCGACCGGCCACACUGGGACUGAGACACGGCCCAGACUCCGUACGGGAGGCAGCAGGUGGGGAAUCUUGCGCAAUGGGCGAAAGCCUGACGCAGCGACGCCGCGUGAGGGA
rnacentral:rRNA from 1 species